AUUGAACGCUGGCGGCAUGCUUUACACAUGCAAGUCGAACGGUAACAGGCCGCAAGGUGCUGACGAGUGGCGAACGGGUGAGUAAUGCAUCGGAACGUGCCCAGUCGUGGGGGAUAACGCAGCGAAAGCUGCGCUAAUACCGCAUACGAUCUAUGGAUGAAAGCGGGGGACCGUAAGGCCUCGCGCGAUUGGAGCGGCCGAUGUCAGAUUAGGUAGUUGGUGAGGUAAAGGCUCACCAAGCCAACGAUCUGUAGCUGGUCUGAGAGGACGACCAGCCACACUGGGACUGAGACACGGCCCAGACUCCUACGGGAGGCAGCAGUGGGGAAUUUUGGACAAUGGGCGCAAGUCUGAUCCAGCCAUGCCGCGUGCGGGAAGAAGGCCUUCGGGUUGUAAACCUCUUUCGUAGAGGAGGAAGGGGCCGUGAAGAACGGUCUUUGACCUAUUCUAGGAAGAAGCUUGGGCUAAGUUCGUGCCAGCAGCCGCAGUAACAC
rnacentral:rRNA from 1 species